GUGCCAGCCGCCGCGGUAAUACGUAGGGUGCAAGCGUUAAUCGGAAUUACUGGGCGUAAAGCGUGCGCAGGCGGUUUUGUAAGACAGUGGUGAGAUCCCCGGGCUCAACCUGGGAACUGCCAUUGUGACUGCAAGGCUAGAGUGCGGCAGAGGGGGAUGGAAUUCCGCGUGUAGCAGUGAAAUGCGUAGAUAUGCGGAGGACACCGAUGGCGAAGGCAAUCCCCUGGGCCUGCACUGACGCUCAUGCACGAAAGCGUGGGGAGCAAA
rnacentral:rRNA from 1 species